GAAAUGCGAUAAGUAAUGUGAAUUGCAGAAUUCAGUGAAUCAUCGAAUCUUUGAACGCACAUUGCGCCCCUUGGUAUUCCGGGGGGCAUGCCUGUUCGAGCGUCAUUAUCACCCCUCAAGCUCUGCUUGGUGUUGGGGCCCGUCCUCAGGGGCGGCCCCUAAAAUCAGUGGCGGUGCCAUCUGGCUCUAAGCGUAGUAAUACUCCUCGCUAUAGGGUCCCGGUGGCGUCCUGCCAGAACCCCCCAUUUUAUAAUGAUUGACCUCGGAUCAGGUAGGGAUACCCGCUGAACUUAA
rnacentral:misc_RNA from 1 species